CAGCGAAUCGCGGCGGCGGCGGAGGGAGGGAAUGCUGGUGUCAGAUUUCAAGCGAAACCCAGGAAAUCAUGCGUAUGCUGUGGCAGAACUGGAAUGUUAUGUGGUAGAUUACGACUCGGUCCCGAUGCCGGGGAGGCGGAAUGGGCCAUCGACGAUGGAGGAAGGGAUGGAUUUGGGGAUGAAAUUGGGGCUUGGGCAGCCGAGUGCCGCCGUCAGCUGUCUCCGCCGGCGAGACUUCGGAUGACGAACGCGUCCGGCGACGAAGGCACGGUCGUUGGCGGCAGUGUUGAGAGAAGGAAUUGGCGGUGGCGAAUCCAUGGCAGAGUGCAAGAUAGCGUAGCAAGGGGUUGGGGUUGUGUGAGCAGUGAAUUCAAUGAUUUGAUUUUUAGCAGAUGGGAUCCUCUGUCCCACAAUAUUGUGUGUAUCAUGUGUACCACUCUUCAU
rnacentral:lncRNA from 1 species